GGACCAAGGAGUCUAGCAUGUGCGCGAGUCAUUGGGACUCUGUUAAAACCUAAAGGCGUAAUGAAAGUAAAUAUUUGACGUGUUCCUUGUGAUCACUGAAAAUUUAAGGGAAGAUGGGUAACGAUAUUUAUGUUACCUCGCAUUCCCGGGGCGUCGCGUACUUAUUGCAAGUUGCGGCGCACCAAGAGCGUACACGCUGGGACCC
rnacentral:rRNA from 1 species